AUGAACGCUAGCGGCAGGCCUAACACAUGCAAGUCGAGGGGCAUCGGGAUUGAAGCUUGCUUCAAUUGCCGGCGACCGGCGCACGGGUGCGUAACGCGUAUGUAACCUACCUAUAACAGGGGCAUAACACUGAGAAAUUGGUACUAAUUCCCCAUAAUAUUCGGAGAGGCAUCUCUCCGGGUUGAAAACUCCGGUGGUUAUAGAUGGACAUGCGUUGUAUUAGCUAGUUGGUGAGGUAACGGCUCACCAAGGCAACGAUACAUAGGGGGACUGAGAGGUUAACCCCCCACACUGGUACUGAGACACGGACCAGACUCCUACGGGAGGCAGCAGUGAGGAAUAUUGGUCAAUGGACGCAAGUCUGAACCAGCCAUGCCGCGUGCAGGAAGACGGCUCUAUGAGUUGUAAACUGCUUUUGUACGAGGGUAAACUCACCUACGUGUAGGUGACUGAAAGUAUCGUACGAAUAAGGAUCGGCUAACUCCGUGCCAGCAGCCGCGGUAAUACGGAGGAUUCAAGCGUUAUCCGGAUUUAUUGGGUUUAAAGGGUGCGUAGGCGGUUUGAUAAGUUAGAGGUGAAAUCCCGGGGCUUAACUCCGGAACUGCCUCUAAUACUGUUAGACUAGAGAGUAGUUGCGGUAGGCGGAAUGUAUGGUGUAGCGGUGAAAUGCUUAGAGAUCAUACAGAACACCGAUUGCGAAGGCAGCUUACCAAACUAUAUCUGACGUUGAGGCACGAAAGCGUGGGGAGCAAACAGGAUUAGAUACCCUGGUAGUCCACGCAGUAAACGAUGAUAACUCGUUGUCGGCGAUACACAGUCGGUGACUAAGCGAAAGCGAUAAGUUAUCCACCUGGGGAGUACGUUCGCAAGAAUGAAACUCAAAGGAAUUGACGGGGGCCCGCACAAGCGGUGGAGUAUGUGGUUUAAUUCGACGCAACGCGAAGAACCUUACCAAGUCUUGACAUCCCUUGACAGACAUAGAAAUAUGUAUUCUCUUCGGAGCAAGGAGACAGGUGGUGCAUGGUUGUCGUCAGCUCGUGUCGUGAGAUGUUGGGUUAAGUCCCGCAACGAGCGCAACCCCUAGUAUUAGUUGCCAGCGAGAAAUGUCGGGAACUCUAAUACGACUGCCGGUGAUAAAUCGGAGGAAGGUGGGGACGACGUCAAAUCAUCAUGCCCUUUAUGUCUUGGGCUACACACGUACUACAAUGGCUAUAACAAAGAGAAGCGAAAUAGCGAUAUGGAGCAAAACUCAAAAAAAUAGUCUCAGUUCGGAUUGAAGGCUGAAAUUCGCCUUCAUGAAGCUGGAAUUGCUAGUAAUGGCAGGUCAGCAUACUGCCGUGAAUACGUUCCCGGGCCUUGUACACACCGCCCGUCACACCAUGAGAGCCGGGGGGACCCGAAGUCGGUAGUCUAACCGCAAGGAGGACGCCGCCGAAGGUAAAACUGGUGAUUGGGGUG
rnacentral:rRNA from 1 species